rnacentral:rRNA from 1 species
CGGCAUGCCUAACACAUGCAAGUCGAACGGGACUCAGCCCUUCGGGACUGAGUUUAGUGGCGAACGGGUGAGUAACGCGUGAGGAACCUGCCUUUCAGGUGGGGGACAACAGUUGGAAACGACUGCUAAUACCGCAUAAUACUUUUGAUGGCAUCAUUGAAAAGUCAAAGAUUUAUUGCUGAAAGAUGGCCUCGCGUCUGAUUAGCUGGUUGGUGAGGUAACGGCCCACCAAGCCGACGAUCAGUAGCCGGUCUGAGAGGAUGAACGGCCACACUGGAACUGAGACACGGUCCAGACUCCUACGGGAGGCAGCAGUGGGGAAUCUUCCGCAAUGGGCGAAAGCCUGACGGAGCAACGCCGCGUGAGUGAUGACGGCCUUCGGGUUGUAAAGCUCUGUGAUCGGGGACGAACGGUCAGCAGACGAAUACUCUGCUGAAGUGACGGUACCCGAAUAGCAAGCCACGGCUAACUACGUG